UACGGGGGGAGCAAGCGUUGUUCGGAUUUACUGGGCGUAAAGGGCGCGUAGGCGGUAGCACAAGUCAGUUGUGAAAUCUCCGGGCUUAACUCGGAAAGGUCAACUGAUACUGUGCGACUAGAGUGCAGAAGGGGUAACUGGAAUUCUCGGUGUAGCGGUGAAAUGCGUAGAUAUCGAGAGGAACACCUGCGGCGAAGGCGGGUUGCUGGGCUGACACUGACGCUGAGGCGCGAAAGCCAGGGGAGCGAACGGG
rnacentral:rRNA from 1 species